UAAUAUUUUUACAGAUGUUUAUGUUUUUCUUAUGUUUAUGUUUUUUGUUGGGUUUUUUUUGUUGUUUUUUGUUUUUCUUCAAUGCAUGUGCCUGGUCACAAUGAAAUUCCCUCUCUCACCAACUAGAUCUGGGGGCGGACAGACAAUUCUCACACUUAUGACUAAUAAAAAAUUAUUAUUUUUUUUUUUUUACACAUUCCUUGGUUAUCAGUUUAGCCCACGGCACAUCACACACUAAUUAUACAUACAAACUGAUACCUAAUUAACACUUGACAAACAUGCAUGCCAUCAAACCACAUGACGUCAACUAUUCAAGAACAACUCACUAAAACUGGACUUCAGGGGCCCAACACCCAUGCAUUCUUGUACACGCACAUUUG